GAAACAGGCCUUUCAGGCAUCCUCUCCCAAACUUUCAAGGGCCGCCCGGCAACGGUGCGGCCCAUUUUUUUGCCUGGG
rnacentral:sRNA from 1 species